AUGAAGAAUAUGGGAUUUUUUCAAGGGUUCCUAAAGCUAAAGGAGCCCAGUUUCUCAAGCUUUGACAUAAAGUCUUUCAGAGCCCUGGAUCCCUGUCAAUGUCAUGCUGAAGCUCAAGUCACUGAAGUGAUCCAUCGUGCUGCUGCAGGAGAGUGGUGCAGAGAUGGGACAGACAAGGAGAUGCAGGAGGCACAGGGGAGGAGAGGGACAGACCCUAGGAAAUGGGCAGCACCUGCAGCAAGUACCAGGGGGACACAGGGGAAGCAGAGAUAA
rnacentral:lncRNA from 1 species